ensembl:lncRNA
CUGAAGCUGCUCGAGCGAGCUGAGCUCACACAUCAGUCAUACGACAGACACCAAGCGUUUGAAUUCGCUGAAUUUUCUGUUAUAGAAGUUCAAAACUCAGACGAAAGAGCAGAGUCGUAAGGCAAUCCGCUCUUUAGCAGAAAUUCGUACCAGCGCCCCAAACUACAUAACCUUACGUUACUCCUACAACAGAGCGUAAAACAAGCCAUUCGUCAGUGUAUCAGAAUUAUUUGAAAGUGUUAAAAAAACAACAACAACAACACAUACAUAGGCUAUAAUUGUUUUAUAUAGCCAUGCAUGUUGUAUUAAAGCCAUUACAGGAAUAAUGGAAUAGCCUAUAAAUGGAUUUGUGGAUUUUUGUAAAGAAAAAGAUUACAACAGCGGAACCUCUGCAAUUUAAUAGAAACAUUUCAAGGUUGGUGCUAAUAUGGUCCACUACCUCAACAAUGAGACAAGCCAGGAUCCACAUGUCUUGGUGCUUGGAGACAAAUGAAAUUCCUCCCAAGUUUUCAUCAUUUUCAUUGGAGAGGCAGUUGAAAAGGAGACCUUACUUCAAGCAGUGAAUGAAUGCUUCAAAACGUUCUACAUCUAUGACGUAAACUACCCAAAGCCCUCUGCUCCAAUUUGGGAGUUCUUGCAGCAUGCAGUCUAUAAUAUUCCUGGAGGAGUUCCUUCUACACAUUGCUGCCUCCUAAAAAACUUUGUAUUCAAAGUUACUGAUCAUCAGUUGAUCCAGUAGCCAAA